rnacentral:sRNA from 1 species
UGUCCAGUUUGGAGACUGAAGCCUCUGUUAAUCAAGAGAACAGAUACAGCACAGGCUACUGCAGUGUAAAUUUCCCUUACAAUAUCCAAGCCACUGUCUCAAACUCUCCCCUGAAGGGACUGCCUCUAGGAGUCACAGGAGAGUUCCGUCUCCCUGGCCCAUGCAGUCUGCCCAAAA